rnacentral:lncRNA from 1 species
ACAGGCCUGGUCAUUCGUUCGUCCAUUCAUUCACUCACGCCUUGAGCUGACUCAGGAAUAGAGAUGGGUUGUCUGCGGAUCCUAGAACAAGUUCUGGAGGUGGUGAACAGAUGGCCAAGCAGAAUUGCCAUAAUCCUCGAUAGCAAGAGGCAGCUUACCUUGUGGAAACUUGGGCCUCUCUUCUGACGACUGUAGGGAGUAAGAGAACAAGGAUCGUGGAAUCUGGAUCUUGUCCCCUUUUGACCUUGCAAACUUGCGUCAAGAGUAUAGCCCUCGUAAUGCCAACUGAGGAAUGCCUGGCUGUCCCCAGGAGUACCCACAUUUGGCUCUGCAGUCUCCUGUGGGAAGAUCUGCACGGACCCAGCAUCCUUGCUACAGAACCCUGGGACUGCAGGCUUUUGUCAGAGAUGAUCCGUUAGUCGCCAUCAAGACCCGAAUAGACCGGUAG